GGAAGGUGCAAGCGUUAAUCGGAAUUACUGGGGCGUAAAGCGCGCGUAGGCGGCUAGAUAAGUCGGGUGUGAAAGCCCUGGGGCUCAACCUGGGGAACUGCAUUCGAUACUGUCUAGCUAGAGUGUGGUAGAGGGAGGCGGAAUUCCGCAUGUAGCGGUGAAAUGCGUAGAGAUGCGGAGGAACACCAAUGGCGAAGGCAGCCUUCUGGACCAACACUGACGCUGAGGCGCGAAAGCGUGGGGAGCAAACAGGAUUAGAUACCCUGGUAGUCCACGCCGUAAACGAUGUCAACUAGCCGUUGGGAGCAAUUUGGCUCUUGGUGGCGCAGCUAACGCGAUAAGUUGACCGCCUGGGGAGUACGGUCGCAAGAUUA
rnacentral:rRNA from 1 species